CUUUAAUCUCAAGGACGACGUGCAAUGGACCUGAGCCCUAGGACCAUGCCUCAGAACUACCUGGCAUGAUGACUCCUUGCUGUCCCCAGUCCACCUGGCUGUGCUGCCUGGCCGUGCUGUCCAUCGAAUGGACUCAAGCUUCUGACUGAGCUCAAUUACACACAAAUACAGCAAUGAGUUUCUCUCUCUUGAUGUAAUACAAACUUUGAGAAAUAACAAGGAGCACCCACAAUGUGUUUUGUGUAAAGAAGUGCUUUGUAAUGAGUCUCUCAAAACAAACAAAUUAAAAUGACAUGUCCUGACCAAACAUCCACAGCAUAACGGUAAACCCAGGGAGUUAUUUCAGAACAGGGAAGAAUGCUUCAGGAAACAGGGAUUCAGGAAACAGGGCAUCAUGAAACAGUGCUUCAGGAAACAGUGCUUCAGGAAACAGUGCUUCCACAGUGGACAAGUAAGACCUGAGCCCUAGGACCAUGCUUCAGGACUACCUGGCCUGAUGACUCCACCUGGUCUUGCUCCAGUUUCAACUGUUCUGCCUGCGGCUAUGGAACCCUGACCUGUUCACUGGAUGUGCUACCGUGUCCCAGACCUGCUGUUUUCUACCGCACCUGCUGUCUCGAACUCUGAAUGCUCGGCUAUAAAAAGCCAACUGACAUUUACUCCUGAGGUGCUGGCCUUUUGCACCCUCUACAACCACUGUGAUUAUUAUUAUUUGACCCUGCUGGUUGACUAUGAACAUUUGAAAAGCUUGGCCAUGUACUGUUAUAAUCUUCACCCGGCAGUCAGAAGAGGACUGGCCACCCCUCAGAGCCUGGUUCCUCUCUAGGUCCAUGCCUUUCUAAGGAGUUUUUCCCAGCCACAAUGCUUCGACAUCUGCAUUGCUUGCUGUUUGUGGUUUUAGGCUGGGUUUCUGUAAAGAACAUUCUGACAUCUGCUGAUGUAAAAAGAGCUUUAUAAAUACAUUUGAUUGAUUGAUUAUCAACUUUUCCCCCCUUCUCGAUUUCCAUGCUACUCAUCAGAACAAUUGAUCAGUAUGAUAAGG
ensembl:lncRNA